rnacentral:rRNA from 1 species
AACGUAGGAGGCAAGCGUUAUCCGGAGUUACUGGGCGUAAAGAGUGCGUAGGCGGACCUGUAAGUGGGUGGUGAAAGCGCCCGGCUAAACCGGGCGAGGUUCAUUCAGACUGCAGGUCUAGAGGCGGAUAGAGGGGUGCGGAAUUCCGGGUGUAGCGGUGAAAUGUGUAGAGAUCCGGAGGAACACCAGUGGUGCAAACGGCGCCCUGGGUCCGAACUGACGCUGAGGUGCGAGAGCGUGGGGAGCGAACCGG